CCAAACUGCUGCAUCUCUGCCUCGUUCUGCUGGAUGCCCUUUAUGUGCUCGAACAGAGAGUGGGAGGAAUAUCUCACCUACACACACACACACACACACACACACACACACACACACACACACACACACACACACACACACACACACACACACACACACACACACACA